GACGAACGCUGGCGGCGUGCCUAAUACAUGCAAGUAGGACGCAGUUGCGAACGGGUGAGUAACGCGUAGGUAACUACCUCUAAGAGUGGGAUAACUAUUGGAAACGAUAGCUAAUACCGCAUACUAGUAGAUGGACCUGCGUUGUAUUAGCUAGUCGGUAGGGUAAAGGCCUACCUAGGCAAAGAUACAUAGCCGACCUGGGAGGGGGAUCAGCUACACUGGGACUGGGACACGGCCCAGACUCCUUCGGGAGGCAUCAGUAGGGAAUCUUCGGGAAUGGGGGGAACCCUGACCGUGCAACGCCGAGUGAGUGAAGAAGGUUUUCGGAUCGUAAAGCUCUGUUGUUAAGGAAGCGGUACUUAAACAGAAAGGGACGGCUAACUACGUGCCAGCAGCCGCGGUAAUAC
rnacentral:rRNA from 1 species